rnacentral:rRNA from 1 species
AUGUUCCUUCCUGAUGGGGAAAAAUUCUAUGCUUUUGGCUUGGCAGUAAUGUGUUGGGCUUUGUGGAACUGUCGUAACAAAGUGACGUUUGAGUCCAAACAGAUGAGGUCCCCUUUAUAGGUGGUUUACUCAGCCUGUGGGUAUUUGAAUUACUGGGCAGGACUGAUGAAUGGAGCUGAGCGCGAGGCCAUGGAGCACGGAAUCAAGAUGCUGAAGAUCAACGCGUCGACCUUGAUGCGUAUAUGUGCAGCACCAGGGGAUGCAGGACAGGGAUGA